CUCUGUGUAACGGAGGAGCGGUAGCCUUCAGCAGCGUUCCGUGGCUUCACACAAGUACUGGGAGAGGAAUGGAAUUGGCCUUUUUCACUGCUGCUGCUUACUGAGUUAACACUGUCAAUAAGCUGUUGACCACGACCCCAAGAUCUCUCUCCUGGAAAUCGGCUUGAUCCCUCUUAGAAAAUGCUGUCCCUUUGGAUCAAAAGCUUUUGAGCCAAAGCUUCCUGUCUGCGUUCCAGAUGACUUUUCUUUUCAAGACUACGUGGCAGGAAAGACUGACCUGGAGAGAGAAGCCAGUACCAGGCCAGUUGAAAUCUGCAGGGGAAAUGACCCUGCAUUUCUCUUGCACACAUGUGCAGCAUUUGCAUGUAACAUUAAACCAGAGGUCACUGAACUAGGGCUUAAUUUUUUUAACCAUGAAUUG